rnacentral:piRNA from 1 species
UGGCAUGCACAAAUGGGUGAGGGGUCU